GACAGAGGUCCCGGGCGUUAGGCGGAAUCACUGGGCUUAAAGCGUGUGUAGGCGGCGGCCUAAGUACCUUGUGAAAUCCCACGGCUCACCCGUGGAACUGCUCGGUAUACUGGGUCGCUUGAGCCACUUAGGGGCUACCGGAACAAAUGGUGGAGCGGUGAAGUGCGUAGAUAUCAUUUGGAACGCCAAUGGUGAAAACAGGUAGCUGGGAGUGUGCUGACGCUGAGACACGAAAGCCAGGGGAGCAAACGGG
rnacentral:rRNA from 1 species